rnacentral:misc_RNA from 1 species
AACCUAGCACACCUGCGGUGUGUACCUGCGGAAGGAUCAUUACCGAGUUUACAAACUCCCAAACCCUUUGUGAACCUUACCUAUCGUUGCUUCGGCGGGAUCGCCCCGGGCCGGCCCUUCACGGGGCCUCCGGAACCAGGCGCCCGCCGGAGAACCCAAACUCUUUGUUUUUAUGGUUUUCUCCUCUGAGUGGAUUAUAAACAAAUAAAUCAAAACUUUCAACAACGGAUCUCAGAUCGG